rnacentral:lncRNA from 1 species
CAGAGUUAUUGUUUUAUCUACCCAGUAGGAAAAAAAAAGCCCUCUAGGUAUGUAGCUGAAACCCUGACAUAAAUGGAAACAGCUUCUCACCUAUUUCCUAAGUCAGUCCACAGACACAGAGCCCCCCGACUGAAGGAGAAACUGGGUCCAUUUGUGGAAGGCUGCACCAUAUGGGAUAUCUUCUUGAAUCAGUCAUGCCAUCAGGGCCUCCUUGGCAAAACAUGAUCCCCCUGGAGUUAUGCCACACAGCGUGUCUGCCAUCACACCAGGGAUGCUGAGGCUGCACUAUCAUCUCUGAGGGAAACCAGCUGCCAUGUUGUGAAGACACUCAAGCAAGCCAUGUGUGUGAACUACCAUGUUGAAAAUGGACCCUCCAAAUCCAAUCAAGCCUUCAAGAGAUUAUUGAUGUCAUGGCCAACAUCCUGACUACAACCUCAUGAAAAAACCUCAGCAAAUGCUUCCUAACCAAGCUUCUUCUGAACUCCAGACCUAUAGAAAAUGUGUGAGAUAAUUGUUCUUCAGCCCAGUCAAGACCCUAAGAAGAUGGGGGUGGAAUUCUGCCUCCUCUACACAAAUUCUUGCCACGACUUAGUGACACCUUUAAUGAACCGAGCACUGGGUUAAAGUUUUCUCUAAUUCUUAAAUAACUCUGCUAGAUGCACAAGACAAAGAAACAAAAAUGUCCAACAACGUGUCAAGAGAAAAUAAGUUAUACCUUCAAGAAACUUCAAAUGGUUUUACUACUGCUCAGCCCCUGAAGGCAUGGUAGACAACCCACAGUGUAUAUUAAACAAAACUGCAGCGACUGGCAAAGGAUAAUGAAAUGAUAGGAAGCCCAUGGAGAACACAGUGGAGAUACAGUGAUGUACAAGCUGGGAACCCAAGGAAACACUAUAGGAAAGGCAGUAAGGUACCUGAGGAAGGCUGCAUCGAUAGAGAAGCAGAGAAGCUGGCUUUGGCUACUGAAGGCUGAUUCAGGUUAAGGAAGACUUAGAUCAAAAGUUAUCCAAAACCCAAGACCUCAGAUGAAUAAGGCACAUGUCAGUCAGAAGAAGGAAGAAUAUUCCUGGAGAAGAUAAAAAGAAGAAAAUUUCUGGUAUGCUUCAAGAUCAUACAGAAGGCUGAAACAACAGGACCUUGGGAGACUCACAGUUUUGUACAGUAAUUUUUCAAUAACAAUAUACAGGCUUCUCAGUCUCACCAGAGAAAAAUCUGCCCCCAUAUUUUCAAAUUAUUUUUGACAAGCUAUGUACCAUUAGACUGUAUCACACCCAAGUCUCCUGGCCUUUAACAGGACUGUUAGAUUCUACACUCAAAGUACGAACUUGUUUCAUUCCUUUUUAUUUCUUCAAUUAAGGAAACCACCAUCAAGCAUUAUCACUUCCACUCAUGCUAUAAAGGCACCAACAUUUUUCAUCAUCAUACUGAACCUCUCAAUUUUUCAUAUGAUUGCAUCUUCUUGAUGUGCAAUUGCAUCAUCAUUUCCUCUCCUUUCUAGUAAUUUCUCUUAUUCCUCCUCUACUCUGCAUUAUUCUAUUAUACUCUCAUAAUAAAUAUAGGUUUUCUCCAGAAUUUCAUACGUGGUUUUCUUCUAUUUCAAUCUAUAUAUUUUAAGAAGUUUACAUCUAUUGUGGAUGAAGGAAAAUAAUUGAGAACAUCACUACUCUGCCCAGCAUCUGAGUGAAGGAUGUGAGAAUGGUGUGUUGUUAAUCUUCCCUCCACAAUGCCUUUUAAAUAUUCAUCCUUUUAACUCAUACUAUCACUUUCUCAAAUUCAAAUGCAAAUAAGUAGGGUAAAACUGUUGUUACAGUGGCUUUGAUUCUUAUCAGGCAUGAUUAAAAUGCUGAAUAAAUAAAAAUUCCUGGUGACUUCUUCAUAGAUCACACAAUUUUGUAUCAAGUUAUUUUCUAGUGAUAUUUUUAAAAAAUUAGGUUACCAAUGCUACAAAAUAUCUUACAUUAUAUUUAAUCUUACAAUCUCAACUAAUCUUUUAACAAGUUGAGAUUGUACAACAAUAUUUGAUAGUAAAAUCAUUAUGCCUCAUGCAGGAGAGGUGUUUUACACAAAGAUCAGAGUUAAAUGUUUCCUACAGAGGUACAAUGAGAUAUAAUAGAGUAAACUGAUGAAUUUUUAAUUUGAGAGUGAGGGGAGAGCCUUACUCUUUAUAAAUAGAACAGAUUCCACUUUUAGUCUGUUUAGGGGAAAUUUUGCCCCCAAAAAGUUAAUUAGAGUAAUUUGUUUUGCAAGGACUGGAGUCUAAUACUGUGAAGAAGCUUUAAAUGUUAGAGCUAACAUUUACUCAAAGAGAGGAAGACAUAAAAUUAUACACACAGCCACAUUUAUGCAAUAGCCAAAUAAGCAGAAUAAGUGAAGAAAAAAUAGUGCACAGUUUUCUCAAGGCAGGAUUUGCAAAUAUUUAAAGGUUAUAAAGUAAAUUGUGAAACAAAUACAUUUGUUGCUAUUUUGGAAGAGAUACAAAUGUACUCUGUAUAAUAUCAUGAAAAUUGCUUGGGUUUUAGAACCAAAUCAUCAUUCUUUUUUAAAGAAUGACUAAAAAAAGGCCUCUCUGGGUAGCAGAACUUGUAAUAGUCUCCCAAAAAAGAAUCUAAAUAUGGAUUUCACCUACUGCAGAAGUUUUCAAACUUUUUGGUCUCAGAACUCCUUAUACACAAAAAUAAUUAAGUAAAAAUAGCCCAA